ACAUUCCUACAACAUAGCAUUAAUUCACCUAAUCUCAUUACAACUCUGUAGUUAAGUGUGCUCGUGCUAGGGUAGUAUUGGGAUGGGUUACCACCUGGGAAGUCCUAGUUUUUUGCAUGCC
rfam:Picea glauca, whole genome shotgun sequence.